rnacentral:rRNA from 1 species
AUUGAACGCUGGCGGAAUGCUCUACACAUGCAAGUCGAACGGCAGCACGGACUUCGGUCUGGUGGCGAGUGGCGAACGGGUGAGUAAUGUAUCGGAACGUGCCCAGUCGUGGGGGAUAACGUAGUGAAAAUUACGCUAAUACCGCAUACGAUCUAUGGAUGAAAGCGGGGGAUCGCAAGACCUCGCGCGAUUGGAGCGGCCGAUAUCAGAUUAGGUAGUUGGUGGGGUAAAGGCCCACCAAGCCAACGAUCUGCAGCUGGUCUGAGAGGACGACCAGCCACACUGGAACUGAGACACGGUCCAGACUCCUACGGGAGGCGGCAGUGGGGAAUUUUGGACAAUGGGCGAAAGCCUGAUCCAGCCAUUCCGCGUGCAGGAUGAAGGCCCUCGGGUUGUAAACUGCUUUUGUACAGAACGAAAAGGUUUCUACUAAUACUAGGAGCUCAUGACGGUACUGUAAGAAUAAGCACCGGCUAACUACGUGCCAGCCGCCGCAGUAA